GAUGAACGCUGGCGGCGUGCCUAAUACAUGCAAGUCGAGCGAACAGAUAAGGAGCUUGCUCCUUUGACGUUAGCGGCGGACGGGUGAGUAACACGUGGGUAACCUACCUAUAAGACUGGGAUAACUUCGGGAAACCGGAGCUAAUACCGGAUAACAUUUGGAACCGCAUGGUUCUAAAGUGAAAGAUGGUUUUGCUAUCACUUAUAGAUGGACCCGCGCCGUAUUAGCUAGUUGGUAAGGUAACGGCUUACCAAGGCGACGAUCCGUAGCCGACCUGAGAGGGUGAUCGGCCACACUGGAACUGAGACACGGUCCAGACUCCUACGGGAGGCAGCAGUAGGGAAUCUUCCGCAAUGGGCGAAAGCCUGACGGAGCAACGCCGCGUGAGUGAUGAAGGGUUUCGGCUCGUAAAACUCUGUUAUUAGGGAAGAACAAAUGUGUAAGUAACUGUGCACGUCUUGACGGUACCUAGUCAGAAAGCCACGGCUAACUACGUG
rnacentral:rRNA from 1 species